rnacentral:rRNA from 1 species
UACGUAGGGUGCGAGCGUUGUCCGGAAUUAUUGGGCGUAAAGGGCUCGUAGGCGGUUUGUCACGUCGGGAGUGAAAACUCGGGGCUCAACCCCGAGCCUGCUUCCGAUACGGGCAGACUGGAGGUAUGCAGGGGAGAACGGAAUUCCUGGUGUAGCGGUGAAAUGCGCAGAUAUCAGGAGGAACACCGGUGGCGAAGGCGGUUCUCUGGGCAUUACCUGACGCUGAGGAGCGAAAGUGUGGGGAGCGAACAGG